rnacentral:rRNA from 1 species
AAGCGGUGGAGCAUGUGGUUUAAUUCGAUGCAACGCGAAGAACCUUACCUACUCUUGACAUCCAGAGAAGCCAGCGGAGACGCAGGUGUGCCUUCGGGAGCUCUGAGACAGGUGCUGCAUGGCUGUCGUCAGCUCGUGUUGUGAAAUGUUGGGUUAAGUCCCGCAACGAGCGCAACCCUUAUCCUUGUUUGCCAGCGAGUAAUGUCGGGAACUCCAGGGAGACUGCCGGUGAUAAACCGGAGGAAGGUGGGGACGACGUCAAGUCAUCAUGGCCCUUACGAGUAGGGCUACACACGUGCUACAAUGGCGCAUACAGAGGGCAGCAAGCUAGCGAUAGUGAGCGAAUCCCAAAAAGUGCGUCGUAGUCCGGAUUGGAGUCUGCAACUCGACUCCAUGAAGUCGGAAUCGCUAGUAAUCGUGAAUCAGAAUGUCACGGUGAAUACGUUCCCGGGCCUUGUACACACCGCCCGUCACAACCAUGGGAGUGGGCUGCAAAAGAAGUGGGUAGUUAACCUUUCGGGGAGACGCUCACCACUUGUGUCAUGACUGG